rnacentral:ncRNA from 1 species
AGACUUUUGACAAAGUGCCCGCUACGGAGAGAACAAGCAGGUCGUAAAGACGCCGUAAACCCAUCCCUGGGGGCUCGACCCGCGCCAUAUAUGG